AAAUUCUAUCCGCCCGGGAGGGUUUACUACAAGCAUUAGCUUAAAACCCAAAGGACUUGGCGGUGCUUUAGACCCACCUAGAGGAGCCUGUCCUACGACACCUGAUGACCCCCCGCACAACCACCACNUCUGGCUCAAUUUUCCGCCUAUAUACCUCUGUCGUCAGCUUCCCCGGAUGGCGUCAUGUAUGCAUACUUGGCAUCCCCCCAUAACGUCAUGGUCAAGGUGCAGCGCUCGAAGUGUGGAAGAGAUGGGCUACAUUUUCUGGCCCAGAAAAUUACGAAAGGGGAAAUGAAAACACCCCCGAAGGAGGAUUUAGCAGUAAGCAAGGAGCAGAGUNCCC
rnacentral:rRNA from 1 species